AUGAAUGCUGGCUGUAUGGAUAAGGCAUGCAAGUCGAACGGACCGCAAGGUCAGUGGCAGACGAGGUAGUAACACGUAGGUACGUACUCCGAAGUCGGGCAUAGCCAACCGAAAGGUUGGGUAAUUCCCGAUAGUCCCGUAAGGGUAAAGAUUUAUCGCUUCGGAAGCGGCCUGCGUAGUAUCAGCUUGUUGGUAAGGUAACGGCUUACCAAGGCUACGACGCUUAGGGGAGCUGAGAGGCUGACCCCCACCGAUGGGACUGAGACACGGCCCAUACUCCUACGGGAGGCCGCAGUCGAGAAUCUUCCGCAAUGGACGCAAGUCUGACGGAGCGAUACAGCGUGAUGGACGAAGUGCUUCGGUACGUAAACAUCUUUUAUGUGGGACGAAAUUAUUGACGGUACCACAUGAAUAAGGGGCUCCUAACUCUGU
rnacentral:rRNA from 1 species